GGGGCUCCUUGGUGAAUCAUAAUAACUUAACGAAUCGCAUGGCCUUGCGCCGGCGAUGGUUCAUUCUAAUUUCUGCCCUAUCAACUUUCGAUGGUAGGAUAGUGGCCUACCAUGGUGGCAACGGGUAACGGGGAAUUAGGGUUCGAUUCCGGAGAGGGAGCCUGAGAAACGGCUACCACAUCCAAGGAAGGCAGCAGGCGCGCAAAUUACCCAAUCCCGAUACGGGGAGGUAGUGACAAUAAAUACUGAUACGGGGCUCUUUUGGGUCUCGUAAUUGGAAUGAGAACAAUUUAAAUCCCUUAACGAGGAACUAUUGGAGGGCAAGUCUGGUGCCAGCAGCCGCGGUAAUUCCAGCUCCAAUAGCGUAUAUUAAAGUUGUUGCAGUUAAAAAGCUCGUAGUUGAACCUUGGGUCUGGCUGGCCGGUCCGCCUCACCGCGAGUACUGGUCCGGCUGGACCUUUCCUUCUGGGGAACCUCAUGGCCUUCACUGGCUGUGGGGGGAACCAGGACUUUUACUGUGAAAAAAUUAGAGUGUUCAAAGCAGGCCUUUGCUCGAAUACAUUAGCAUGGAAUAAUAGAAUAGGACGUGCGGUUCUAUUUUGUUGGUUUCUAGGACCGCCGUAAUGAUUAAUAGGGAUAGUCGGGGGCGUCAGUAUUCAGCUGUCAGAGGUGAAAUUCUUGGAUUUGCUGAAGACUAACUACUGCGAAAGCAUUCGCCAAGGAUGUUUUCAUUAAUCAGGGAACGAAAGUUAGGGGAUCGAAGACGAUCAGAUACC
rnacentral:rRNA from 1 species